rnacentral:rRNA from 1 species
GACGAACCGUGCGAACGUUGUUCGGAUUCACUGGGCUUAAAGGGCGCGUAGGCGGGCGACCAAGUCCGGGGUGAAAUCUUUCGGCUCAACCGGAGGAGUGCCUUGGAUACUGGUUGCCUCGAGGGAGGUAGGGGCAUGCGGAACUUCCGGUGGAGCGGUGAAAUGCGUAGAUAUCGGAAGGAACGCCGGUGGCGAAAGCGGCGUGCUGGACCUCUUCUGACGCUGAGGCGCGAAAGCCAGGGGAGCGAACGGG